GGCAGUUGUGUGACUUUCACAGAUGAACACACAAAGAGCCUGCCUACAGUGUUUUCUCUGACCCUCUACUGUAGAACCGACAAUGCUGUAGACAAAGGCUGCCCUCUCAGCCUGGGACCCAGAGAAAACCUUGUGGAGGAAAACUACAGUCCAACCAAACGCUUUCGUCAUCUGAGUACGGUCCAAACAUUGCUGGGAAGAGUGAAGGAAUCUUCCGUGUUUAAAUCUACUUUGUUGCUUUGGGACACGAAGUGCCUGUUCAUUUUCUCGGACUCUCCAGCUUCUAAUUCCCAUGUAAUAACCAACAAACUACAGGAAGCAGUGAGAAGACAAGAAGGAGAGCUAUAAAACUUCAAAGCCCACCCCAGUGACCCACUUCCUCUAGUAAGACUCCAUCGCUGUAAGGUUCCAGAACUUCCACCAUGGUAUCAUCAGCUGAGAACCAAGCGAUCAAGCAUAUGAACUUGUAGGUGAAAUUUCACACUCAAACUACAACAGGACCUGUCUCAUGAAUGAAAAUUCCUGAAAACAAGCUGUCACUGAAGAGGCUGAAUGACUAGAACUUCAGGAUGAUGGAGAGGUUGGAAUGUUACAGGUCUAGAAGAUUACUUCAUCUUGCACUAGCUUCAGAUCCUGGAAUAGCCAUUCCUUGACCGUAUGUGUCAGAACUAACAUCCUGUGAUUAACUGAUCAAAACCUAAUUGAUGGGGAUCUGUUGACUUAGCAGGCCCCCUGGCUUCCUCCAACCCAAAAGAUAAGAAUACCAUAAGAUAGAAUGUUAGGCCUGUAGAAAAGCUUCCCCCAUCUUCCUGUAACCACCUCUCUGAUGUACCCACCAAUGUAUUUUAAGCUUGCCUUGAUUUGUGACUUUCUUUGUUUUGGAAAACUAUGAAAUUUCAUGAAACUGCUUCUACAUCAGAACAUAGAAUUGGGGGUAACCUCAAUCUGUGAUCCCAGGCCAUGGUCACUCAAAAUGGCUCCAG